CCUUUAGAAAGAUAUGGGCUGUCACUUUUUUGUGCGGGAGGGGGUGUUACUUAAGUAUAAUUGAAUUUUAUAAAGCAACCUUGCUUUAAUCAAUCUCUACACCACAUUGUAAAGGUAACUAAAUUUUAUAAUCUAACUCUUGUAGGUCAAUUGGUGUUGCUCUUCCGCUUCAGAGGUUCUAAGCUGGUAAACCUUAAAUGAAGGAGUAAAAUGCUGGUUCAGGUUCGCUACCACCAACAGCAGAAAUAUGUAAAGGUGGAUGAAGUUGAUGGAGAGUUUGAUUUCAUGCAACUGCAUGAAAAAGAGUUUACCGAUUGCUCCUUGUCCUCUCCAUCUGAAUGGUCUGACUCAAGCUUCAGUUCAAGUGCAAAUGCAUCAACUAUACUUCUAGAUGAGAUCCCAAGGAAAAAAUCAAAAGUUAAAGGAACAAUCAAUGCAGUUUCUGCAAAAAAGGUUGUAACAAAGCUCAUUUAUCUUUAACUGUCAACAUUUGUGAUUUUCCGUUUAAUUACAAUUUUUGUCUUCUCUAAGUUGAUCGAAGCUGUACUCGGAACCAGUUCAGGUGGUGAGGAGGUCCUUGAAGAUUAUCACACAUCACAGACUCUUAAAGAUUCUACCAGAAGAAAGCUGGUCAAUAUAAUAGUGGCCCACAUGAUUGAUAAACACAGACAUAUCCCUACCAAAGCUGUUAGAGAAGAAUAUGCUCUUGGGAUAGUGACACUUUUUCCAUCCCUGAAAGACCCAUACUCCGAGA